rnacentral:ncRNA from 1 species
GAGAGCCAAAUGAAUCGAAAGGUUCAUGUUUGGUUCGGGAAGUGAUUAUGGAAUUUUCAAACAUGAACAAACUUAAUACUUCUU